CAUGAAAAGUAGAUUGUCUACAUCAUGGGAAGACGCUGUGUUAAAAUGUAAAGAAAAGUAUGGCAACAACAGCUCCUUAUUGCCAUUGUCAACCGUUGAAUUUCGGAAAACAUUGGAUAAACUAUAUAAUAACGGUUCCAUUCAACUCAACAAAUUCUUCCGGAUCGGGCUAAAAAAAAUAAAUUCGAGUGAGAAAAGUUGCAUCACUACGGUCAUUAGUUCAGAGACAAAUAUGACGGAGUUUCGCGUGAGAGAAUGUUCCAGUUUUCCUUGCUCAGCAAGCAAAAUAUCACGAAUCCAUGAAGACUGUGACUCGCACCACCAUCCAGUUUGCGUGAAAGAUGCCAAGAAUGGAAGUAACGAUUCACAGUCCUGUGAGCCGUCGUGGGAAGUAAGAAUCACGGAGAAAAAAUGUGUUCGAGUGUUCACAAAGGUCCACAUGCGAUGGCUUACAGCUUCUAUGUUCUGCCAAGGGCAGGGUGGUGAACUUUUACCGCCGAACAUGGUCCACCUCUUUAAUUAUUAUAACAGGACGGGCUUGUCUGGGAGAUGCUGGAUGAACGAUUAUAAAUCCUUCUUACCUCAGGAUCCGCUCGAAGGUUGGAAGUGGCCUAAUGGCAGUCUAUUGAAUGUUUUCCAUAACUGGGGGCUUACCGCAAGACUACCAGACAUCAAGAAAGAAAGAAGGACUGGGUGCGCUUAUGUACGUCCAGAACGUCGAAUUUGGGAACAAUCUCAAUGUUCAGCUCCUCUUCGUUUUAUCUGUAAGAAAAAGUUUUCAACAGAGCCUUCGACAUCACCAGGUGAGGAAUCUGCUCAUCAAGAAGAAAUUUCAAAACUAUUGAUAUCAGCAAGCGAAUUGAUUUACUGUCAGCGGGAAAACUGUACAAAAGGAACAAAAGAAAAGAAACAAAGUGUUGAGGAGUUAAUUUCUUCAGCCCAAAGAGGAAUUGUUGAAGUAGUUAACUCUAGUACCUUUACUUAUUCGUUUAAUACGGUGAAACGCAAUAUUGAAUUAACGGUGUUUAUGACAGAAUUCAUAGAUCUACAGUAUCAAAGAUCGAAUGCCACCUCUUUUCCAACUAAAUCCAUCGCGACGAUGUGCCAAAAUCGAUCAUCAUGUAUUGUCAAAGGAGUGAUAAUGAAAAUAAGUAACCUCACGAUCAAUUUAUCAAAAUCGUUGAACAACUCUGUCGCGCAACAGGCGGAUACAAUGUCGGUGGAUUACAUUGUUGAUGGAAAAUUGGUCAACAAUUUAGUCAAAGGCGAGGAAGUAUCGCUCAAUUUUCAACUGGAGGAAGUGGUAACAGGAAGUCGGGUCAUGUGUAUAUUCUUGGAUGGACUUCUUUGGAAUACGACAGGAAUGAAAGUUGGCUCGAUGGACAACAACGUUGUUGAAUGUGUAACGAAUCACUUUUCUAGCUUUGCAAUGGUUGUUCUUGAUUCAGAGCCAAGUGAAGCUGAUAAAGAUGCUUUAAAGUUCAUCAGUUAUAUUGGCUCAGGAUUGUCGCUGGUUGGUCUGGUUUUGACAUGCCUUAUCUACAUCAUUCUAUACAAAGAUCUGCAAAUUUUGACGACCAGUCGACACUUGGUACAUUUGAACUUGCAGAUCGCGCUGGGACUGACCCAGAUUGUUUUUCUCGCCGGAGGCAGUGCUACACAUGAUGAGAUUGCCUGCAAGGUCGUUGCAAUCUUACUGCAUUAUGUUUCACUGGCAUCAUUUUGUUGGAUCCUUCUUGAGGCGGCCAUGUUGUAUUUGAAACUCAUCUCUGUGUACGGUGGAGAAAUCGUUAGAAUGAGAAAUUUUUAUGCUUUUGGUUGGGGAUUUCCUUUGAUUUUCGUUGGUUUGUCUUCUGGUUUGAAGAUUGAUGCUUAUGGUUCUGACAACUGGUGCUGGUUGUCUUACAAAGAAGGAUUCUUUUGGGUGUUUUUUGCACCGGUAGUCAUCGUGACAACGGUAACAUUAGUCGUCUUGAUUGCUGUGGCUCGUGUUUUAUUUCAUGCUGCAAAGGCUGAAAGCAGUAAUAUGAAAUACAUUGUCUCUGCCGCGCGAGGCAUAAUCAUUCUUUUCCCAACUCUUGGUCUCUCGUGGGCAUUCAGUGUCAUCGCCGUCAACCAUGAAGCCAUGAUCUGGAAAUAUCUUUUCGUGAUAUCGACAUCGACGCAGGGCUUUCUUAUCUUUCUCAUAUACGGGAUUUGUAAUCGCGAGAUUCGAUCUGCAAUCAGGCGGAGGAUCGAAGUCAACCAAUCGACUUUAACAACAUAGCCCUUCACUUUCAGAAUGACGCCUUGAUUGAGCCCACGCCAUCUGGAGUUAGUACGCUGUUAGUUUUUCUAUUGGCUGUUCACAAGUAGAACACGGUUUAUUUCAUAUUCAUGUCGCGGGAUUGUAUACAUGCAUAUAGCACCAUAUGGCAUUUGUGCCGCAUUUGUGCCCUACACGGUGAAGUUAGCAAUCGCACUGGCUUGGUAUAACCUUUGGUCACUUCAACGAUGUUUCCCUCUGGAAAGUUCCCAUCUUACUUCUUCAAAGUUGGCUUACUUCUUGGCCUGACCUCCCGAUCGAUCGGACGCAAUGGAAUACUGGCCGAAAGGCAAUCUGGGUCAGGAUCGAAUAAAGAAAAGAGCGAUUAUGGCAUAAAUUAUACAUACAGCGACUUAAAACUUAGUUGGGAGG
rnacentral:misc_RNA from 1 species